rnacentral:rRNA from 1 species
CACGUAGGGUGCGAGCGUUGUCCGGAAUUAUUGGGCGUAAAGAGCUCGUAGGCGGUGUGUCGCGUCGGCCGUGAAAACCUGCAGCUUAACUGUGGGCGUGCGGGCGAUACGGGCAGACUGGAGUACUGCAGGGGAGACUGGAAUUCCUGGUGUAGCGGUGGAAUGCGCAGAUAUCAGGAGGAACACCGGUGGCGAAGGCGGGUCUCUGGGCCGAUACUGACGCUGAGGAGCGAAAGCGUGGGGAGCGAACAGG